UUAAACCUUCAACACCACCAACCUGCAAAACCAGCAAAGCUCCAAACAGUGACCUGAUCAGAACUCCGCCUUCAGGACACCUCCGGGCGGCGCACCGGUUGGGUUCGAUCCGUCUUCUGGUUGCCGACGUGCCUCUAGCCUCAGUUGGUCCGAUUGGUGGGUGUGGAGAGAGAAUCGAACGCCGAGGUCUCCGACGGUUUCUCUACAAAUUCUGGUGGCUCCGGCGAUGUUUUGAAGUGCAUGAGGUAUUUCAGCCACCGUCGGGUACACCGUCUAUGGUGGUGGUUUUGGGUUGACGACGGUGGUACUUGAAGGAGUCAAUUAAUGACUCAGAACCUCGCACUGCUGAGGGCUCAAUUUCGGGAUCCUUUCUAAGGUUUUCCAUCACGCAGUCUGCAUGGGAGCUGUGUUUGGUUGGGUGGAGAGUAACGGCGCUGCUAUAGGGGUGUGGGAAUGAAGUAAUAGAU
rnacentral:lncRNA from 1 species